rnacentral:rRNA from 1 species
GGAAUAUUGGACAAUGGGGGCAACCCUGAUCCAGCAAUGCCGCGUGUGUGAAGAAGGCCUUCGGGUUGUAAAGCACUGUAAGUUGGGAGGAAAAGCGUGUGGUUCAUAACCGUUAGUGUUGACGUUACCAACAGAAUAAGCACCGGCUAACUGCGUGCCAGCAGCCGCGGUAAUACGGAGGGUGCACGCGUUAAUCGGAAUUACUGGUCGUAAAGCGCGCGUAGGCGGUUUGUUAAGUCAGAUGUGAAAUCCCCGGGCUCAACCUGGGAAUGGCAUUUGAGACUGGCAGGCUAGAGUGUGGUAGAGGUGAGUGGAAUUUCAGGUGUAGCGGUGAAAUGCGUAGAGAUCUGAAGGAACAUCAGUGGCGAAGGCGACUCACUGGGCCAUUACUGACGCUGAGGUGCGAAAGCGUGGGUAGCAAAC